rfam:Halobacillus mangrovi strain KTB 131, complete genome.
CACACGUUUUAAAUGAGUCCAGUGAGGCUCACAAAGGUGUACUAGGGUUUGGCUCGCUUGUCAUGCGAGCAAAGCACCCCCAGCACACCUGGGGGUGCUUUUUUCAU